rnacentral:rRNA from 1 species
UACAGAGGGUGCGAGCGUUAAUCGGAAUUAUUGGGCGUAAAGAGCUCGUAGGCGGUUUGUCGCGUCUGCUGUGAAAACCCGAGGCUCAACCUCCAGCCUGCAGUGGGUACGGGCAGACUAGAGUGCGGUAGGGGAGAUUGGAAUUCCUGGUGUAGCGGUGGAAUGCGCAGAUAUCAGGAGGAACACCAAUGGCGAAGGCAGAUCUCUGGGCCGUAACUGACGCUGAGGAGCGAAAGCGUGGGGAGCGAACAGG